GUGGACUUGAUUGACAGGGGCCUGGCUUGUUUUCUGGACUGAGGGCUGGGACAUUUUGUCCCCGCUGGACUUGCUCUUAACUCAAUUGGAAUAAUGAUCCAUCAACUAAAAAUCCAUUACCAUUGGUCCCUCAACUCAUCUAAACGUGCAGCUAUGGUCCCUCAAUUCAAAAUUCAUUACCAUUGGUCCCUCAACUUUAAUUCAACUGGAGAAAUGGUCCCUUAACUUUAACCUAAUUGUAGCAAUGGUCAUUCAAACAUAACUCGUUUUGACAAAAAUUUUGAUGCAAUUGAUGAAAAUGACCAUAAUUACAUACUUUAAUGAGUUGAUGGACCCUAAUUAUAUAAAUGGUUAUUCCAACAUAACUUAUUUUGACAAAAUUUUGAUGAAAUUGAUGAAAAUGACUAUAGCUACAAAUUUUGAUAAGUUGAGGGACCAAUGGUAAUGGAUUUUUAGCUGAGGGACCAUUGUUCCAAUUUGAUUAAAGUUGAUGGAUCAUUGCUACAAUUUACUCUUUUUAUUACAACACUAAUCGGGUUAUACCUCGUGCACCAAUGUUAUUUUUAUCUUUUUUUCUACGAGCAUUUGUUUUUUUCAGGAUUCCUAAUAAUACGCGGUUACCCCGCCAAGUGUUUCAACCCAUGUUCUAACCAUAGGUGAAGUUCUUUAAUCUUAAAAGUAUUGUCCAUUAAAGGCCAGUUUUGCUACAGAACUUUCGGUGUGAAAUGCUAAGAGCAUUUCCACCGGAGGUGGAAUAGUCCAGCACCCAGUCAAAAAACCAGGCUAGGACUCUGGCAAUCCCCUCCAACCCACAAACUUGCCUGGCACCCAGCCCAAGUUGGUCUUCAGGCCAACCCAAACUUGACUAACCAAGGAAUCAGCGUAUUUGCCUGGCGCAUGGCUUUCACACGGCUGUGGGUGCGAGUAGCUAAUAGCCAUUCAGAGAUCGUUGGAUUUCCAACGGUAAAGGAAAUUUGAAUUUCACUUUUGAUUUGGACCGUCCAAUUACAGAUCAACGGUCCACGUUUUUCGCCCAAAAAAAAAAAAAAAAAAGGCCCAAUGGUCAUAAUUCUGACCAUUGGCCACGUGGCAGCUUAUAGGCUGUUGGAUUUGAAUAUUUUUAAAUCCAACGGUCCAGAUUAAUUAACUAAAUUAAAAAUUAUUAAAAAUUAUGAAAAAAUACAGAAAAAUUUUAAAAAAAAAUUCUAUGAAUACCUAACUCUCAUCUUCCACCUUACACCACAUUUUAAUUUUUUCUACACUUUCUACAUUUCAAUAUUUUCUACACUUUGAGAGAAAAAAAUGUCUUCGUGGAAGUUCAUUGAAGAUGUUACAUUGUGUGAAUGUUGGGUUCACACAACUCAUGACCCGAUUACGGUUAAUGAGAUGG
rnacentral:lncRNA from 1 species